UUUCCGUAGGUGAACCUGCGGAAGGAUCAUUCAUAAUAAGUGUUUUAUGGCACUUUUUUAAAUCCAUAUCCACCUUGUGUGCAAUGUCAGGGUUGGUUUUUCUCUCGAGAGGAUCAACCCCAAACAUCAACUAUAUCUCAACCCUUUGUCUGAAAAAUAUUAUGAAUAAAACAAGUCAAAAUACAACUUUCAACAACGGAUCUCUUGGCUCUC
rnacentral:misc_RNA from 1 species